AAAUGGUAAUGCUACAUUGAUACCAUGAAGAAGAGAUACCACUACUGAGAAGUGCUUCUAUUGUGUUUCAGUUCCAGCUUUGUUAUCUACUUGAACUCUAUUUCAAUCUCUAUAUACAAGAAUAAGGUUUUCUUCUCGCUUUGGAGACAAGCCAGAGCCUUUUAACAACACAUUAUGCUGGUGACUGGGUAGUUCCGGGGGCUAAUGAGGAGACAGAAAAUCACAGUGAACCCAGUGACCAUUUCAAAUCCAAAUCAGUGCCACUCUGGGUAGAGCCGUCAUUCUGCCUCCCAAGCACCUGUUCAGGAAGAGAUCUUAAAACACAUUGUUUCAUGUAAAAAACAUUCAGUCUUUGGCUUCCGGAAGCUGAUGUAGAAGGACAGCACUGCUCUUCCUUAGUUUACAGACCAGUUUGGCCACACAGCUUGCUAGGACUGUGCACAGGAAGGAGGGGGCCCAUAUAAAGGAGGGGUCAGGCUGCUUGUGACACAGAGGAUCAGCAUGCACAUGACUGAAGAGGAGGAAAAGGAAAACACUGCCAUAAAAGUGACAGUAGGGAUGAAGAAUUGUCGUGAAUGUGUAAUGCACCCCUGAAAAGAUGCAGGAGAAAACAUACCAAGCUGGAAGUCUUAUCAUAUCUGGAGUCUCACUAUUCCAAAGCAGGAAUUAAUUUAAAGAGAAGAAGCUGCUGCUCUUGUUGGCUGACAUCGCUUGUUCAUAAACACAGGAAAGAAAAACACUGAAGUGAUAUGGUUACCAUAAUUACUAUCUUUGUUCAAAAAACAUGGUGGUUUUCCACCCUGAAUUCAGUUCAAGCAGCCGUUGCAGCUAGUACCAGCCAGGAGCUAAUGCCACACACUGCAGCUACUCUGGCAGCAAAUGCAGUAAACCUUGCACUUCAAACGCACCAUACAGGAUGUCAAGGCAUACUACAGAUACAGGAGCACAGAAGUAUUAUCUACUGUUGCUGUUACAAUGAAUUUGUGUGUAGCUAACCAAGGAUACAUUGCCAAACCAAGCCUGGCAAAUGCAUGCCACUCCAAUAGCAAAGAAAGCCCAUAGAGUGUAGAUUCUAAACAUGGGGUUUCUGUGAAGGCUCAACCUUGGCAUUUAAUUAGUUGAGCCCUAUUUGGAGGGCAUGCUGUGGCACUAGGUUGGAAAUUGACAGGUCGAAGAAAUAAACAGGAUCAUUUUAAGCCAAAGUCAUCACCAAAUGCAAUACUGCUGUGUAAAAGGGAUAUCAAAUCAGGGUAAUCAAGCCCAGCCGUGUCAGCCUCUUGUCUUGCUGUGGCUGCCCAGGGGAUAGGCUCAGGACAAGGCUUUCCCAGCUGGAGGAGGCAGUGAAGCCCUGGUUAAACAGGUAUCUGUUUGGUUUUGGAUAAAGCUUAAAGCAAAGCUGCUUAAAUGAGUUGCUGAGUUGAUGAAACCUUGCAGUUCUGGUUGCUGGUCUCCUCCUUUCUCACUUCGUUUUGCUGCAGUAACUGGUCUGUCUUGGUAGAUUUGUUUGUAAAUGCUCAUUUACAGUUUACCCUAAUUUAAAAAUUGAAGGGGGGAAAGCUUUUAAGCCAAAACAGUUUUCGAACCUCU